GUGGGGAAUAUUCCGCAAUGGACGAAAGUCUGACGGAGCAACGCCGCGUGAGUGAUGAAGGUUUUCGGACUGUAAAGCUCUGUUGUUUAGGACGAAAGUGCCUGUUGCAAAUAGUUACAGGUAUUGACGGUACUGAACGAGGAAGCCACGGCUAACUACGUGCCAGCAGCCGCGGUAAUACGUAGGUGGCAAGCGUUGUCCGGAAUUAUUGGGCGUAAAGAGCAUGUAGGCGGGAAUCUAAGUCUGUUGUGAAAAUGCGGGGCUCAACCCCGUAGUGCGAUGGAAACUGGGUUUCUUGAGUGCAGGAGAGGAAAGGGGAAUUCCCAGUGUAGCGGUGAAAUGCGUAGAUAUUGGGAGGAACACCAGUGGCGAAGGCGCCUUUCUGGACUGUGUCUGACGCUGAGAUGCGAAAGCCAGGGUAGCGAACGGGAUUAGAUACCCUGGUAGUCC
rnacentral:rRNA from 1 species